rnacentral:rRNA from 1 species
CCUACGGGUGGCUGCAGUGGGGAAUAUUGCACAAUGGGGGGAACCCUGAUGCAGCUAUUCCGCGUGAGUGAAGACGUAUCUCGGUAUGUAAAGCUCUAUCAGCAGGGACGAAAAUGACCGUACCUGACUAAGAAUCUCCUGCUAACUACGUGCCAGCAGCCGCGGUAAUACGUAGGGGGCAAGUGUUAUCCGGAUUUACUGGGUGUAAAGGGAGCGUAGACGGUUCUGCAAGUCUGAAGUGAAAGCCCAGGGCUCAACCAUGGGACCGCUUAUGAAACUGUAAGGCUGGAGUGCAGGAGAGGGAAGCGGAAUUCCUAGUGUAGCAGUGAAAUGCGUAGAUAUGAGGAGGAACACCGGUGGCGAAGGCGGCUUACUGGAAUGUAACUGACGUUGAUGCUCGAAAGCGUGGGGAGCAAACAGGAUUAGAUACCCGUGUAGUC